UACGUAGGUGGCAAGCGUUGUCCGGAUUUAUUGGGCGUAAAGGGCUCGUAGGCGGUCUGUUGCGUCAGGAGUGAAAACUCGGGGCUUAACCCCGAGCCUGCUUCUGAUACGGGCGGACUAGAGGUAUGCAGGGGAGAACGGAAUUCCUGGUGUAGCGGUGAAAUGCGCAGAUAUCAGGAGGAACACCGGUGGCGAAGGCGGAUCUCUGGGCCAUUACUGACGCUGAGGAGCGAAAGCGUGGGGAGCGAACAGG
rnacentral:rRNA from 1 species